UACGUAGGGGGCAAGCGUUGUCCGGAAUCAUUGGGCGUAAAGAGCGUGUAGGCGGCCAGAAAAGUCCGCUGUGAAAACUCGAGGCUUAACCUCGAGAGGUCGGCGGAAACCAUCUGGCUAGAGUCCGGAAGAGGAGAGUGGAAUUCCCGGUGUAGCGGUGAAAUGCGUAGAGAUCGGGAGGAACACCAGAGGCGAAGGCGGCUACCUGGACAAUUGCUGACGCUCAGGCACGAAAGCGUGGGGAGCAAAAGGG
rnacentral:rRNA from 1 species